UUUUCGCGCUCGAAUGUUAGCACAGACUGAGUCUGUGGUGUAAGUCUAAGCUUGGUCUAAGUAAAGAUGUCUGGCUGUCUGUUUCUUCACUGACUUUUCUUUUACAUUUAAUGUCAGUACGUACAUAUUUGUAAUGGCAGACCCACUGAUCUACAUACUUGUCACUUUUACUAAAAGUGGAGAAUUGGGCAUUGGCACAUUGGAGGCCAUAGAAGUGCCGAAAGAUUUCCAUGACCAUAGUUUCGAUGAUCAGCUCGAGCAAUUAAAAGGUUUUGUUGGAACAAAAAAAGUUAUUGGGAUCAAUUGGCCCAAGUUUCCCAGCAAUCCUGGUUGGAACCUACCCGUUGAGUUGACUACCAAAUCUAGAUCCCAAAUUCAACAUGACAUGAGAUCAUGUAAAGUUAUCUCGUACUCAGAGGACAGAGAUGUGGUGGUGGCAGUACGAGAUGCCAUGGUGCCUCCUAUCAGUGUCCAAAAGCCAGUAGCCAAAAAAUCAGCCCCGAAGUCAUGAAAAAUGAAGAAAAGUCCGAUACAUCUGCUGACAGCAGCCUUCAUCAUGAUGAUGAUCAGCAAGGAAUUUUUUCUUCAGAAUCAGAGUCUGACGAAGAUUUGAUUCCUCCGCCUCCAACGAAGAGAAAACGUAGCAAUCAGUCUGUCAAAUCAUUGGGCAACACCAAAUCCAAGAGAAAUUCAAGUCACAACAAGGAAAAUUCAUUUGUCACACCAAAAAGAAACGAAAAGUCAUCAGCGAAGAAUUCUGACUCUCAGAUUCUUACUUCUUUGGACUUCAACAUUUUUGACACCCCCCCCCCCAAGUUCCACAACAAAAGAAAACCCGAAGCGUGUGCUGGUAAUAAAUGCAACAUGAUUGUAAGAAUUAUUUCUUUAUUUAAUUUGUAUUUUCCGUUUAAGGACGAACCAUUGACGGAGCCAGUUAAUGCUGACGUUCAAGACGACGUUUAUGUGCAGCCCCACUUUCGAGUUCAACAGAUUUCCUGUUCUUUCAGUCAUUCAUUCUUUUCUUUUUCAAUUUUCUACUUUUUUUAUGUUUCAUUUUCAACUUCUUUGAAUAAUCUCCUCCAUCGCGCAGCAUGGUCACCUCGACACAACGUUAUUUGCUCUUUUCCGAUUUCCGAUCCCAUCCUCUCUCUAUCAUCCUUUCAGCUUCUUAAGAGGUCAUUUUUUUCCCUGCCGUUUCUCUCUUCUAAUUCAAAGUUGAUUGUACCGGAUUGUACGUAUAUUCGUUACGUUUUAGUUAACGUCAUUUCAAAAACAUAGAAUCGUGUCGUAAUUGAUUGAGUUUCGAGUCCAUGUUGCCGUGAAAACUCUCGAGCAAGAGUUCAGUGUGUUGACGAGAAAACUCCCCUCCUACAUUUUCCUCAUUUGUAAUACAGGUUGACUGUAAAGUUUAAAUGUCGGGCAGUCUGUCCAUUUGCUCGUCGACGACACCUCCGACGAAUUGCCGUUGCUGAAAAUUGUCGUUUUUUAUUGGUGUUAAAUUGAAUUAACGCGGAAGUGGCCAACAUUGAACUUAGAUAUUGCUCGUAUUCUUAUUGUGUUCAUUUUAAAUGUAAAAAUGUAUGUGUGGUGUAUUUUAAUCGAUGUCCCUCCAAGGCCUACUUGUAACAUGGAAAAGAAUUUGAUUAAACCAAUGAUGGUUUAAUUUCAAUACAAAGAUUUCAGUUCCUUUAAAGCUAA